GGCCGGAAGCGUGGGCCACAGGGCUUUGAGCGGAAGCUGUCGAUCUUGCGCGGUGAUGGCGGCCCUCAUGACGCCUUGUAUCCCCUCAGGCUCGAGCCAGGAACCUAGAUCCAAGAAUUCUCUCUUGGGAUCUAGAUUGGACCCCUUUCCUGUAACAGAAUUACAGGAGUGAGCCACAGCACCUGGCCUGGAAUUUCCACGCACGAUUUGGAAAAGAAGGCUCUUCCAUGGGCUGCCUGGUGUUGCUGACCACUUUUGAGGCCACUUUCUAGGGGGAGGAGCAGGGACAACUGAGUCUACAAGAUCUUCUUCUGGAGCCAGAAGUCUGCAACUGACAUUUUUAAAACCUAGAUUAUUAAUUUUGAUAAUAUGCAUCCAAUUGAGCUGAGGGUUUUUUCCAAGCAAAAAGAUCAUUGCAAAAUAGUUGAUUUCUCUGAAUGGUUUCUAGAGCUUACUUCUAGGCUGAAGGCAGGCCAGAGGUCCAGGUAGGUGAGAUGCCCAGAGCCGCCGGGAAAUUCCUCCGGGUAGGAUGCAUGACCUGGUUCUGGAGCUCUACUGUUUCCUGACACUCAAUGAAAAGCAGUAGAAAGGCUCUUUCUCCUUUCAAGAAAAAGAGGCAGUGGUGCAUACAUACAUGUUUCUCACUUGUAGGUAUUUUAUUUUUGAACUUUCUCCUCUAUUAUUAGCAGUUUUUGAUUUUUAUGACAACAGCCUACAUACUGAGAGGUCAAAUUUCAGUAACUUUCAUUAGUUAGAAAGGUGGGGAACAAAUCUAAUUGAACUUGUCCCCUGAGAGAAGUUCUGGGCCAGUUUAAACAAGGCAGUAUAAAUCAGAAGGAGGUUCACUGCAUGGAUGGAGGGAAAGAGAGCUCCUAAGUUAACAAGAAAGGGUCACUGGCAGACUUAGAAAAAGACUGGUCGGUUGGCAGGCUUUAGAGAGGAGCAGAGGGAAGCAGCAGGAGAUGCCCAGUGGGAGGAAGAAAGGUCACAUUUUUGUGACCACAGAAGUGGUGAGAGCGAGUCUAGGGCUGGAUGCAGCAAAUGCUUGCUAGGUUUCCUGGGCAACAGGCCCCUCCCUUCUGGCAGUCUAUUAGGCUCUGAAAGGCUACCGGCAGAUAAAUCUACAUGGUGGUAGAAGAGCAUGCCUGGAUCAGCCGGCUCCUCAGAGAACACCCUGGGAGGCAGCAUUUCCGAAAGGCGCCCAUGCAGGAGGACUUGGGGAGACAGAGAACAGGGAGGCUGGGGGCCCACUGGGCCCUGCAUGACUGCGGCAGCUCCUUUGGCUUGGGUGCAUGGAUAUACACACAGACUGGGAAUUUGUGAAGCCACUUUGCCUGGCUUAGCUGGACUGGGAACUGAAAACCACCCUGCAAGGCGGAGACUGCCAUUCUCAUUUGCUAAAGAAGAGUCAGCCAAGGCAGGACGCCUGUACGUGGCUGCCCAGCUAGCCAACAGCAGCCGGACAAGGCAUCUUCUGGAACUUGUGGGGCUCCCCUCCUCUGGAAAAUGAUGACCCAGGAGGAGAAACAGAGAAAGAGAAAAAUCAUAGCCUAACUACUGAGCACUUUUGCAUUCCACUCAGUAGGGGUGGCCCUGAAUCCUUCAUUCUGAGCGUUUUCUUUCCUGUUGUAGAGAAGUCCAUCCUGGGCAGUUGAGGGAUGUCUCAGAUUGCAUGGAUUAAAAGCAAGGGAGGAGGCCACGGUUGCAGGAGGCAGGCAUCCAGGAGGGAUUCCUCCAAGGGAAGCUUAGAAACAUGACUGCAUAACAAUGUCUGUGUAUAAAUUAUAAAGUACUGUGAUGUCAGAGAACAUGGAAAGUUCCCUGGAUGCUGGUACAGAAGAUGGUUGGUUGUUUAACAUAUCUGAGAGAGAGUCACACCCUCAAAGAUAAAUACAAAAGUAGAACCCAGUAUUUGUGUCUGAUACCUUUUCUCCCAUUAUGUGACCUUUGACGGUAAAUAAAUCAAAUGUGUCCAUUUCCUCUGUGGAAAAUGGGGCAAAUUAAUGGUGAAUUCAUAGCAGUAAGGUCCCCAGAACCAGUCAAAAAUGCCAUAUGUCCAGUCAGUGUGAGAAUGUGGACUCUACUCACCAAGGAGCCUGUCGUGGAGAGGCCCAGAAAAGCAAAAUGGCCCAGAAUCAUGUGGUUUUUUGAAGGGUGGGGAGAGUCCCUCUUUGGCAUUCUGGAAUAGUCCUGCUCAAAUCAUGUGGUUUAUGUGGCACUGGCCCAGCCCUGGACAAGCAGAUGUGUGUCCUUUGGGCACAGUGGUGGGCUCAAGGUCUGGCCUUCACUCACAUCAGACAAAUGAUCAUUUUUCCUGGGAGUUUAGCUCAGAAAAUUCCUCACUCUUUCUGGAUGGUGAUGACCGAAAGAAUCCCAUGCAUCAGGAGCCAAAGGGGCAUCUUGCUUCCACAUGGAGAGAGAGGACCUACCUAAGAAUGAGGUCAAGGAAGGCCAGCAGGGAGGAAGAGACAGAAAAGAGAGAAAGAGAAGUGCUGACAUCACUUGAACACCUGGAUCCUGCUAUGCCUGAUGCUAGAUACACCCUCUUUGGAUUUCCCAGCCACACAAGCCAACACAUUUCCCUUUGUAAAAAAGCUUAUUUGAAUUGGGUAUCUGUCACUUGUAAAUGAAUGAGUCCCGAUGAAUACUGUUAGUGUAAAAUAUAACUGUUGUGCCAGAGUGGUCUGGAAUUCUCAGCUGGGUUGCCCCUAAAUGGAUUCCAUUGUUAGACUAAACACAUGAACCUUUCAUGAAGGCCUCAUAAUAUUCUUAAUAGCUGCUCAGUUGGCUAACUAGAGUAAAAAUGGCUCUGAUCAUCAGCUAGCAGCAAGAAGGCCACUGCCUUAAAUCUAAAUAGUGAGGUGCAGUGCACUGAAUUGUGUCCCCCAAAAUUCAUAUAUUCAUGCCCUCUCCUCCAAUGUGAUGGUAUUUGGAGGUGGGGCCUUUAGAAGGUAACUAUAUUUAGAUGAAGUCUAAGGGUAGAACUUCCAUCAUGGGAUGAGUGUCCUUAUAAGAAUAGACAAAAGAGCUUUCUCAGGUCUCUUUCCCUUCCCUACAUCAAGAAGGUGGCUGUCUGUAAGCCAGGAAGAGAGCCCUCACCUGAACCUGACUAU